rnacentral:rRNA from 1 species
AUUGAACGCUGGCGGCAGGCCUAACACAUGCAAGUCGAGCGAGCGGCGGACGGGUGAGUAAUGUCUGGGAAACUGCCUGAUGGCGGGGGAUAACAACUGGAAACGGUAGCUAAUACCGCAUACCAUCAGAUGUGCCCAGAUGGGAUUAGCUAGUAGGUGGGGUAACGGCUUACCUAGGCGACGAUCCCUAGCUGGUCUGAGAGGAUGACCAACCACACUGGAACUGAGACACGGUCCAGCCGCCUCCGGGAGGCAGCAGUGGGGAAUAUUUCACAAUGGGCGCCAGCCUGAUGCAGCCAUGCCGGGUGUGUGAAGAAGGCCUUCGGGUUGUAAAGCACUUUCAGCGGGGAGGCGUUACCCGCAGAAGAAGCACCGGCGAACUCCGUGCCAGCAGCCGCGGUAAUAC